rnacentral:rRNA from 1 species
UAUUAUUAAACGGCCGCGGUACCCUUACCGUGCGAAGGUGCAUAAUAACUUGGUCUUUAAAUGGGGACUAGGAUGAACGGCAUCACGAGGGUCUCACUGGCUCCUUUUUCAAUCAGUGAAACUGAUCUCCCCGUGAAGAAGCGGGGAUUAAAAUAUUAGAAGAGAAGACCCCUGGAGCUUUAAACCCAUAGACACCUCUGACUAAUCUAACCCAAAACACUUCUAAGUUCUGUCUAUUGGUUUUAGGUUGGGGUGACCACGGAGUACAAUAAAUCCUCCAUGACGUACGGGACUUCCUCUUAUCCUUGAACCACAUUUCUAAGAAUCAACAAAUUGACGUUUGAUGAUCCAAUAUAUUGAUCAACGGACCAAGUUACCCUGGGGAUAACAGCGCAAUCCAUUUUAAGAGCCCCUAUCGCCAAAUGGGUUUACGACCUCGAUGUUGGAUCAGGGUAUCCUAGUGGUGCAGCCGCUACUA